rnacentral:rRNA from 1 species
GACGAACGCUGGCGGCGUGCUUAACACAUGCAAGUCGAACGGAUCACGAGGCUUCGGUUUUGUGGUGAGUGGCGAACGGGUGAGUAACACGUGAGUAACCUGCCCAUAAGAGGGGGAUAACAUCCGGAAACGGGUGCUAAUACCGCAUAGGUUUCUUGGUCGCAUGAUCGAGAAAGGAAAGACGGCCUUUGUGCUGUCGCUUAUGGAUGGACCCGNGGCGUAUUAGUUAGUUGGUGAGGUAAUGGCUCACCAAGACGAUGAUACGUAGCCGACCUGAGAGGGUGAUCGGCCACAUUGGGACUGAGACACGGCCCAAACUCCUACGGGAGCAGCAGUA